UGCCCAAAAAACUGCACGAUCAAGUAGCCCUUGGGAAACGUUGUCUUGCUUGCUCACUCAUCCCCCAGCGACACGACGACUUUCCAAAAACCACACCGUUCAUGCUGGGCUGGCAACCGCACCGACCAGGGUGCGUGUAUAUUCCUCGCUUGCCGACGAUCUCGUUUCGUUCUUGCUGGUCUUGCGCAGCCCCUCCGAUCACGAUCACGGCAAGUUCGGGCGCCCGAGCGCACACUACUACUUUGCGCCUUUGCGCGGUCGCACCAACCGCUCAGUACAGCUUGAGUCGUCGACGCUGAGAGGCCGCAGCGCGUUUCGUUUCCCGUCGAAAGCCCGUCGUCUCGCUUUUCGUCCAAAGCCCGUCCGCUAAGUGUGCGCAGUAGUAAGUGAGUGAACGUGAAGUAGGCAAAAAAAAACCCAAAAUAAUUGCCACCCCGAGGCCGCCCUCACCCCGGAGUGUGCUUAGCAGUGUUGCCCUUUCCUUCUAACUGCCCACGUCGUGUCGUGUCGUGGUGCUCGUUGUGUGCAUUUGCAGUGUCUCAAAGCGUGUGGUUGUGUGUAACGCCGUAUUGCAUAACUCACUCACCGGCGUGCGCCCUAAAACCGAGCGCACCUUCGGCUAAAAAGGGUUCGUCGCCGACGCUGCCGCCGCUCGCACAAGCAUUGAAAUCGUUCGAUCGAAUUUGGAUUUGCGCGAUUUGUCCGUCAGUGAUUGUGGUGGUGCUGGUUUGUGGUAGUUUUUUAAGUUGGCGUUAUGGUAGUGUAGGUGCCCCACAGUGUCACAUUUGACGUGAUCUCGAGUGAUCACCCAUUCUAUUCGUCUGUUGGCGUGCAUUCGAUUGUGCCCGUAGCCCAAAUUUUGCAACGAUUUUCGGUCCCAGACAGAGCUGGUGCGAGCUGGUUGCCAGAAGUGACAGAGUGGGAAGCAAACUGUACACCACAAAAGGCGCGACGAUGAAGCUGAAGCUGCUGUACACGCUGGCCAGCAUAGCGCUGCUGACCGUGGCCAGCUGUGAAGCGAAAGGUAAGCUGUGCAAAAAUGAAUUGUCUCUCGGUCGCUUGUCCGCGGUAAGAGAAGUGGUCAACCUUCGUCAAGCAAUGAGUAAAUGCCGCGCGUAGGAGUACCGAAGUAAAGGCUAAUAA